rnacentral:rRNA from 1 species
UACAGAGGGUGCGAGCGUUAAUCGGAAUUACUGGGCGUAAAGCGUGCGUAGACGGUUAUCUAAGUCGGAUGUGAAAGCCCCGGGCUCAACCUGGGAAUUGCAUUCGAGACUGAAUAGCUAGGGUACGGUAGAGGGAAGUGGAAUUUCCGGUGUAGCGGUGAAAUGCGCAGAUAUCAGGAAGAACACCCGUGGCGAAGGCGGCUCUCUGGGACGGUACUGACGCUGAGACGCGAAAGCGUGGGGAGCGAACAGG